CUUGAACCUGGGAAGCGGAGGUUGCAGUGAGCCAAGAUUGCACCAUUGCACUGCAGCCUGGGCAACAAGAGCAAAACUCCAUCUUGAAAAAAAGAAAAAAGUACCUAGGAGAGCAGUUUGCCUUUGGAAUUAAUAAUUAAUUAAUUAAUUACUAUGUACAAUUCAGUCUUAGGUAUGGAUUAUGAAGACUUCUAACCUGGCCAGUGUCCUCCUCCCUGUCCCCCACUUCAACUAUAACCCCCACACUGCCCAAUCUUAAUGGGUAAAAAGUGAUGACACCAGGCCACCAACUGGGCCCAGUUCAAGUACAUGCUCAGUAAUGGUAACAAGAAUACUUCACCAUUUUCUUUAGCACUUUACAAUCUACAAAAUUUUUUUCUACAUUCAUUGUCUCAUUUAAACCACACAACAAACCCAUCUGGUGUUAGUGUUCCUGUUUUAUAGAUGAGAAAACAGGCUCAGUGGAAUCCCAGUAGCUCAUGCUGUUCAAAUAGUGAUAGGAUAAAUAGGUCAUUGUAUUAGUAUUCUGUUGUACGUAACAAAUUAUCACAAACCAGCAGCUUACAACGACACUCAUUUAUUAACUCACAAUUAAUAAGGUCAGAAGCCUAGGUGGACUCAUUUGGUUUCCCUGCUUAGGGUCUCAAAGGCUGGGCUCUUCUCUGGAAACGGGGGAAAAUCUGUGUUUGGCCUCCUUCAGCUCAUUGGCAGAAUUCAGUUCCACAUGGCUGCAGGGCGAAAGUCCCCAUUUCCAUGCUAAAUGUUGUCUUGGGACUGCUCUCAGCUCCUAGAAGCCACUCUCUGUUCCUCCUCACACGUGACCUCUUCUAUCCUCAAGCCAGCAACAGUGAGCUGUUCUUAACGCUUCAAAUCUCUUUGACUUUCCUUCUACGACCAGCCUGAGAAAGCUUUCUAACCUGGGCUUCAGUGUCCAGAGUUUUAAUGGUGUUUCUUAUUGAAUCGUUGCCCAUGUGACUCCAUCUCCAGUCCCUGCCUUUCUUCAGAGGUCACACUGAUAUUACAUGACUCAAAGCCCCAGUCCUAUAAUCACAUGGUUGGUCUUUCUGCUGUGGCCAUUCCCCAUACUGAGCCGUCUUGUCAGUAUAAAGUAUGGAGAGGCCCAGCACAAGUCA
rnacentral:lncRNA from 10 species